CACGUAGUUAGCCGGGGCUUCUUAGUCAGGUACCGUCAUCUUCUUCCCUGCUGAUAGAGCUUUACAUACCGAAAUACUUCAUCGCUCACGCGGCGUCGCUGCAUCAGGGUUCCCCCCAUUGUGCAAUAUCCCCCACUGCUGCCUCCCGUAGGAGUUUGGGCCGUGUCUCAGUCCCAAUGUGGCCGUUCACCCUCUCAGGCCGGCUACUGAUCGUCGCCUUGGUGGGCCGUUACCCCCGCAACUAACUAAUCAGACGCGGGUCCAUCUCAUACCACCGGAGUUUUACCACUGCACCAUGCAGUGCUGUGGUCUUAUGCGGUAUUAGCAGUCAUUUCUAACUGUUAUCCCCCUGUAUGAGGCAGGUUACCCACGCGUUACUCACCGUCCGCCGCUCAGUCAAAUCACUUUCCUCCCGAAAGAAUCAAAGUAAAGUGCUUCGCUCGACUUGCAUGUGUUAGCACGCCGCCAGCGUUCAUCCUGAGCCAGGACUCAAACU
rnacentral:rRNA from 1 species